ensembl:lncRNA
CUCUCGCCCCCCCUACCCCACUCCUUCUUCUUUAGUGCGAGUGCGCCCGAGCGUUGACUUUCGGGGACUCCCUCUCCCCCACCUCGCAGAGACCUUCUGUGGCUCCCUGCCCCCCCAUCGGGCCGCUCAGACGUGGCUGUUGGGGGGCGGGGGGGUGGAGAGGGCGGGGUAUAAAGGGCCCGAGGCUGCGCGGGCCGAGCCCCGAGACGUGGCGCGCCCACCCUGCCGGCCUCAUCUCCAGCCGCAUGGCUCGAGACACUGCCAGCUCAUCGGAGCAGAGCCCGAAGGGGGCUGGAGAGACCACCACGGCCACCCGGAGGAGGUGAAGACACCACUGUAGGUCAGGGGUGCCCUCAGAGGGAACCCUGGGUAUUUGUGAUCUUUAACAACUG